rnacentral:rRNA from 1 species
UACGUAGGGUGCGAGCGUUGUCCGGAAUUAUUGGGCGUAAAGAGCUCGUAGGCGGUUUGUCGCGUCUGCUGUGAAAACCUAAGGCUCAACCUUGGGCUUGCAGUGGGUACGGGCAGACUAGAGUGCGGUAGGGGUGACUGGAAUUCCUGGUGUAGCGGUGGAAUGCGCAGAUAUCAGGAGGAACACCGAUGGCGAAGGCAGGUCACUGGGCCGCAACUGACGCUGAGGAGCGAAAGCAUGGGGAGCGAACAGG